rnacentral:tRNA from 1 species
GCCCAGCUGGCUCAGUCGGUAGAGCAUGCAACUGUAGAAUCUGAGGCUGUGAGUUAGAGCCCCACUUUGGGUG